AGUGGCUGGUCUGUCUGGGCCAGUGACAGUCGGUCUGGCUCAUUUAAAAGACCGUUGCCUGGCAUAAUGCGUCCUUUGUAGCGUCCUCAGCAGAAGCGGUCUGUGGAGAAGCCUUCUCUUCAGCUAACUUACUACAGAAUGAUCAGGCCUGUCAGGAUUCGGAACUACAAAAGCGCUACACAUCCUGACCCCAAGGAAUUAACUGAAGAGACUGAACUGAAUUGGUUCUACUGGGGGGUGCUGGAAUAGAAAAAAAAAGAGAGGAUAAAAAAAGAAAUGCACGCUUAUGGAGAACACGAAGGUGAAUGUUGUAUAGAUCAGGGGUCACAACCCAAAUGUUAAGAAGUGCCAUUUUGUCCUUUCAACCAAAAUCACACCAUCUUAGGAGC